UCCAUCCAUCCAUCAACCUGUGUAUAUUUCACUAGUUUCUACCAACAGCUGGUGUAAAUCAUUUCAAUACUGGCUGUACUUGAAGUUAUAUUUGUGCUUAUGGCACUGAAGCUGCAGAAAACAGUGGAAAAACUGAUUCAGGAGUCUGCAUAUAGUCAGUAUCGUCUAAAGAAUAUUUUUAUUCCUUUCUAACUGCAUUUAUCAAAGCAUGAACUGGUGAGCUCAGGGAAGCACUGAGUUAUACAAAACCUUCCACCUCUGGGCCACAGGUUCAAAUGUGGACAGGUCAUUGGUGACUGAAAGUCAUUGCCAUCUGAUGGCUGUCUGGUGACUUAAACAGAACAUGCUGGUGGGCUUAUCCAGAUUCACUGGGCAGAUGUCCAUAUCGCAGAACACACCACUACAAUUUGUUCUCUUCUUGGCAGCUGUAGCUGAGAAACCAAGGAAUAAAUGGGCAUAUCUCCUCCUCCCAAAAACCAUCAUUUUCAUUCAACUGGCAGGGUAUUACAAAGGAACUUGCACUUGGAAUCAGCAAGAAUAGGGAAUACACAUCCGUUUUACUCACUGUUGAAUUCAUAAAUUACAAUAUAUAAGCAGUAGGCUAUGCCAGUUGCAAAUUGCUCUUUGUUCCUCUGCUCUGAUGAGCAUGGAAUAAGCAGUACACAGGUACAGCAGAGGUUUCUUUGUGGUGUGUCUGCACACAUGCUGUAGGGUGGGUUAAAAGAUGCAGCCCCAGAAACCUGUUGAAGCCUUCUUCAGUCACCAGCUAAAGCUGAGUAUACAUUAUACACGUUACCUACAUACCUCUUUAUGUAUGUUUGCAUAGAAAUGACCCUAUAGAUAUAUAAAAAAUCUCACUGGCUGACAAUAAUUUGGCUACUUCAUAAAACUACAAACUAAGUUAUUGCAUUUUUAAAGGAAAUAUUAUUUUUAAUGAAUCAUCUAGCAGUUAACUCAUGGAAAGCUUAUCAAUUUUUGCUACUCAGUUCUAACUUGCUAAGCUUGUCAUAUUCAUUGAAUUAUAAGGAGCAAAAAGAAAUCUGCAUUCUAGCCAGAUUUUGAAAACACAAAUUAAGUUGCUCUUUGACUACAGUUAUAAAACAUGGAAACUUGGAAGACUGUUCUCCUCUGAAAUGUUUCCCUGGCUGUACUGAAAAUUUGGUAUUGUGAUCAUAUGAUUGUGAGUAAUUAAAUAGCCAAUAACACUUACAGGCCACAUUUUAAAAGAAUUGUGCCUAGUUAUCUCAAUACAUUAAAAGCUGGCUUUAAAUCACAUCAGAAUUUCACGGGCACUGAAGCUGAGAAAUCUAAGCAGCCUUACAUUCAUUUCAGAACUCAUUUUUCCUGUAAUAACCCAUUUAGAUCCUAAUUCAUGUUAAAAAGUAGGUGAAUCUUUUUUUUUUUUUUCCCAGACAGAUAAUUAAUUAAUUAGUUAACGAACUCAGUUAAUGACAGUUUCAGCUUUGGAAAAUAAUAUUGCCUAUUACUAUCUGAUUUAUCACAGAACUCAUCUACUGGAGCUAACCAGAGGUGUCAUUCAUCAAAGGAUCUGUCCCAAAAUCAUUAUUAUUAUUAUUAUUUUAAAUUGGCAGUAGUAGCACAUGAGUUCAUACAUUUAAUUCAUUUAUUUCUUCAUUCAUCUCAACGAACACUGGAUUUUAUCCUUUAGUGCACAAAAAAAUAAAUCUCCACAGAGAUUUUUAUUGCACUUAUUGAUUUAGGAGGAUUUGCUGUACUGCUUAAUGUUUGAUUUGCUGGGGAAGAUGUGGGAUAUUUAGCAGUCACCUGUCUGUUAUUCAUUUAGCGAGGUGCUUAUACGAGCUUUGCACUUCUUAAAAUCCUUUUCAGGAGACUUAAUUUUCACGUGCAUAUAUACCAGCUGGCAGCUCCCUAUUCUUCUUCACUAUGCUGACAAGUAAACCAAGAAUCUCUGUACUCAUUUUAUAAGCAUCCCAUAAAGAUUACUUCUGAACAAAACAGCCAAGGCUAGAUAUGAACUGCUUUUCCCUGUGAUGAAAGGCCAGUGUCCGAUCAAAUGAGCCAUCCAGGCCCUAAAUUGGCUCUACAAAAAUAGUUUUAAUCUCUUCAUUGUCUGACUUCACGGCAUGGUAUUGCUGCCCUUAAAUGAAACAUACAUAAAAAUGGUUAGUACAGCUGGUCAGAAAAUGUGCUUGAAGUUUAGAAUCACAUAUCAUUGUUUAUACAGAUGACUAUUUGGGAUAGACUUCAAUAGAAUUUGACUUUACUAGCAAAGGAGAAGGCUUUGGCAAUAGCAUAGGGUGAUCAGCGACAGCAACUCAUAUUUUCCAACUGAGAUCAAUGUGGCCUUUAAUCCAUUAACGCAGACCUAAAUAUCACCCGACAGAUAUGAAUAGAAGACAGUGAAAAUGUGAGGAAGAAAAGUCUGGAGUAGUCAGAUUUAAGAGAGUUGUUUCAUAUUCCAACUCAUUUUAGUACUCUACAGGAAAGCAGCCUGUUUCUACAUUUUCAAUUAGCAUACCCUAGAUAUGGACUGAAAAUGCUUCUUUUCUGCUAACACAGAUGCUUUUUUGUUCACCUAUUUUGAGCCUGUGUUCAUAGAAUUGGAUUUUUACAAAAUCCUUGGAAGUACAUUGUGAAAUGUCAAGAUAGAGGUUUGUUUGGAAUGGAAAGUUUCCGACAAUCACUCCAAGUCAUUUGGAUGCCAAUUUAGAUAUUUAAAUACUAAUGCCAGGCUAGGCGAAGGGGAGAGGAAAACCCCAAAACAACAAAAUCACAACCCAAACUGAGAAAGCUCCCAGCCUCGUGCAUAUUAAAUCAAACUAAAAAUAAAGAUGACGGCAGUAUCUGCGAGCAAUUUGGGUGGUCAGAAAACAAUGGUGCCCUCUGGUUUGAAAACAGUGUUUAGUGUUUGCACUGUUCUUACUUGUCACAAUAAAUUUGGACAGGGUUCCUGUUUCCUGAAUUGACUGAAGCUUUUCAUUCUUUAAAUUUCUAAUGUGUUAUGUCACAUCUUAUUGUAUUUCAUGGUGUCACAUUGCAUUAUUUUGCAUCAUUGUCUCUGAAGUUGAUGAAACACAACACAACAGCACAUGACAAAAAGGAAUAAGCUGUUGGUUAUACAGAGUAAGUGUUGUAAUUCAAUAUCUGUUAGAUGCAGAUAAUCUUGAACUUUUAAUAGUUGUAACAUCUCAAUCAGAUAGUGAGAAACCUGCUCAAAUCACUGGUUUAUUGGAAAGUGAGGCCCUUCUCCUGGGAAACACAAGGUUGCCAUUAUUUACUUGGUAUCAGAGUAUGCUGCUGCUGCUGUUCAACCUCUGUAUUGUUAAUUUGUAAUGAUUAGAAUGAGAUUUGAGACAUACUAGGGUACAGAAUUUCUCAGAACGCAAUAAUGAGAAUAUCCAUUUGAGACAGCAUUAAAGGCACAAUAUGACUGUUUUGAUUUUACAGCACAAAUACAGUACAUAACCUUGGGACUAUUUCCAUUCAUUAUGAUUAAGCCAUGUCACUCAACAGAGAGAAAACUGAGUUCUAGCCCCCCUCCUCCUCCCCACAUUGUUCUUGUUGAAAGCAGUGACAUAAAACUGCAGAUUUAUAACCUAACAAUUGUGGUCUGCCUAAGAAAAGAGAAUAUUUAUAUUUUGAGAGGAAAAAAGAGCUUUUUGUUAUAGAAUAUCAAAGUUUGUAGUCCACACAAAAUAAACAAACAAACAAAUAAAUAAUCCUAUCAUUAUUGCAAGUGCAAUUCUUUUCUGAGAAGAAACAGAUGAACAUAAGAAUUUAGUAGCAAUCAUGACGGGCCAUCCUGAAAAUUUAUUGGUACUGUAUUAAGGAGAAAAUGUUAUAAAAUAUAUCCACAAGUACAAUGAAAAAUGUGCUAGAAAUUAUAAUAAACCAAGGAAGGGUGUAUGGAGCAAGAGUGCCUGAAGACAGCACAGAGCUGACCAGAAGUUAAGUUCAAGAACAUGCCAGCACAUGAAUUACGUGGCAUAAACCCAGCUAAUAAAUCUUUCCAGCUCUGUGUUUACUCUCACACUCCUGUACUGAUGGCUCUGGUAUCUAGAAAUCUCCUGUACACUUCUCGUCCAAAUGUAUUCAUAGCCAAUUUAUGUCCAUUUGUUCUCAUGUCAAAAUUAUCGUUUAAUUUCAUGAGCUUUUGUUUCUCCCAUGGGUUUACCUCAUCAUAAAUUUAUAGACAGCAAUUGUGUCCCUUCUCAACCGGUUUUACUGGGUCCAGCUUCUUUUCAGACAGUCAGC
ensembl:lncRNA